GGCCCCCAUGGUCUCUCCAUAUGACAGGAACUCAAUCACCUUUGGGACACAUUUGCUGUGGUCGACAUUCGACCAGUACUCCGACGGACACUCAGCGCAUGGGACACAGGAGAAGCAGCAGAUGGGUUUGCCUUUAAUGAUUGCUUUCCGGAAACCUGGCAGGCAGUUCUCACUGCAGACAGACGGCGGCCUCUGAAACAUCAGAUCGAUUCAGCAAUCAGUUCCCAAAGAUAUAAGAGCUAUAUUCUGCGGCCCAGGUGAUGUUGACUCCAUUCAUGGUCAGCUGGUUUCCAUCUGGAUGAGAAGCGUCGUACUUUCCAACCGUUG